rnacentral:rRNA from 1 species
UUGAACGCUGGCGGCAGGCCUAACACAUGCCAGUCGAGCGGAUGAAGGGAGCUUGCUCCUGGAUUCAGCGGCGGACGGGUGAGUAAUGCCUAGGAAUCUGCCUGGUAGUGGGGGAUAACGUCCGGAAACGGGCGCUAAUACCGCAUACGUCCUGAGGGAGAAAGUGGGGGAUCUUCGGACCUCACGCUAUCAGAUGAGCCUAGGUCGGAUUAGCUAGUUGGUGGGGUAAAGGCCUACCAAGGCGACGAUCCGUAACUGGUCUGAGAGGAUGAUCAGUCACACUGGAACUGAGACACGGUCCAGACUCCUACGGGAGGCAACAGUGGGGAAUAUUGGACAAUGGGCGAAAGCCUGAUCCAGCCAUGCCGCGUGUGUGAAGAAGAUCUUCGGAUUGUAAAGCACUUUAAGUUGGGAGGAAGGGAAGUAAGUUAAUACCUUGCUGUUUUGACGUUACCAACAGAAUAAGCACCGGCUAACUUCGUG